rnacentral:rRNA from 1 species
AAACCAGACUCCUACGGGAGGCAGCAGUGGGGGAUAUUGCACAAUGGGGGGAACCCUGAUGCAGCGACGCCGCGUGGGUGAAGGAGUAUUUCGGUAUGUAAAGCCCUAUCGGCAGGGAAGAAGAAAGACGGUACCUGACUAAGAAGCUCCAGCUAAAUACGUGCCAGCAGCCGCGGUAAUACGUAUGGAGCAAGCGUUAUCCGGAUUUACUGGGUGUAAAGGGAGCGCAGGCGGCCUUGCAAGUCUGAUGUGAAAGGCCGGGGCCCAACCCCGGGACUGCAUUGGAAACUGCGAGGCUGGAGUGUCGGAGAGGCAGGCGGAAUUCCUAGUGUAGCGGUGAAAUGCGUAGAUAUUAGGAGGAACACCAGUGGCGAAGGCGGCCUGCUGGACAGUAACUGACGUUGAGGCUCGAAAGCGUGGGGAGCAAACAGGAUUAGAUACCCGUGUAC